AUCGUGAGAUGCUUUCUCUCAAAACCCAGCCAUCAUGCUGUAAACGAGCACAAACAGGCUGUGGAGAGGCUCACAAGGUGAAGAACCAAGGCCCCUGGCCCAGGACUCUGGCUGAGCUCCCAGUGGACAGCACCAACUUACCAGCCCUGUAAGUGAGCCAAAGUGGGUACUUUAUUUUUCUCUAGCUUUAUUGUGGUGUACUUGACAAAUAAAAAUUGUGUAUAUUUAAGGUGUACAACCCGAUGUUUACUGUGUAUGCUACACUGAAAUGAUGACCAUAAUCAAGCUAAGGAUCUUACCUGUUACCCUCAAAGAGUCUUAAGGAAGGAAAUCUUGUUAUUUUCAACAAUGUGGCCAGACCUUAAGGACGUUCUAUUAAAUGAAAUAAGCCAGACACAAAAAGAUAAGUACUUCAUGAUCUCACUUAUAUUAUGUGAAGCUAAAACAGUCAAACUCAUAAAAGCAGAGAGUAGUAUGCUGGUUUCCAGGGCCUGGGGUGGGGAAAUGAUUGAUGGGUAUACAAUUUGAGUUAGGCAGGAUAAAUCAUUUCUGGAGAUCUAAUGUACAACAUCGUGCCUGUAGCUCAUAAUACUGUAUUGUAUAGUUGACAUUGGCUGAGAGCGUUAAUGAUCAUCGUUCUUGCCACAUAUACACACAGAAGUGUGUCAUAUGCCCUCGGUCAGGCAGCACUAGGUAUAGAGAAGAGCCAUCCCUACCAGUCCCUGCACAAGCUGUAGAUUUGUGAGCAUAAUAAGCCAUUACAUUUUGAGGGUGGUUUAUUUAGUAAUUAUAAAUAACUGAUAUCAUAUAACGUAUCAGUCUUAUCCUUACUGUUUAUUUCUAUGUGUAUGUUGUUCUUAAAGAAGUUCUUUCCUAUGUUAAGAUCACACAUAUCUAAAAGUUUGUUAUGCUUCAUAGUUAGAGGGAAAGACAAAGAGGAAGGAGGGGGCAUGGAUGUGUGUGUGCGUGAAGUGGGACUCUUAUUAAUUUUUUCCCCAUGUAAACACUUUUUCCAACACAGUUUAUUGGCAAGUCUAUCUGUAGAUGGGAACCUCUCUGUUCUGUAUACAGUUGCAUAUACUUGUGAGUCUAUUUCUAAGUUUCUUAUCCUCUUCCUCAGUUUGUUUGCUUAUUCCCAUGCCAAUAUCACAUUGUCUCAUUUACUGUAGCUUUAGGGUCAUUCUUCACAUCUGUCAGAACACAUUUCUCCAUUUGGUCUUUUUACUCACAAUUGUCAUAACAAUUUUUGGCCUUUGGUUUUUCAGUAUAAAUUUUAGUAUUAUCCUGUCAAGUUCUAUAAGAUAACUUGUUGAUAUUAUUUAUAGAUUAAUUUGGAGAGAACUGUGAGUAUGCCACUUAGUUUUCUUAUUAUAAAUGGCAAAAGAAUGGACAUACAAAUCUGUAGAACAGAAUACAUAGGCUAGACAUACUAAUGCAUAUGUAAAAAUUAGACAUUCUUAAUGUUGCUGGUGUAAAGGAGUACACUUGUCUUUUUAUUUAGGUAUGCUUUAUAUGAAAUGAAGUAAACCUAUUUUAAGGGUGAAGUUUGUUGAGUUCUGACAAAUGUAUACAUGGUUGUAACAUACAUGGCAAUUAGAAUAUUACACCCCAGAGAGUUCCCUCAUGCCUCUUUCAGGUAGUUCUUUCCUAUACAAAGGCAGCCACAGCUCAGCUAUCACCAUAGAAUAGUAUAAUAUGUUCCUAAUCUUCAUGUAAAGGAAAUAAUUCAAGGUGUAUAUUUUUUAAAAAUCUAGGUUUUUUUUUUUUUGGUUAUUACAGCUCGUAUGAGACAGAGCCAUGUUGUUGGCAGAUAACAAAGGGUUUUUCAAUUUUAAUUACUGAGAAGUACUGCAUGGUAUAAAUAUACCAUAAUUUACUCAUUCUCCUUAUUGAUAGAUGAUUGAAUUAUUUCCAGUUUUUGACUAUUACAAAGUUAUGAAGAAUAUUCUUGCAUAAGUCUUUAUGUGGAUAUGUUUUCAUUUCUCACAAGGAAAUACAUGGAGUGAAAUUUCUGGGUCUUCAGGAUGAUAUUUAUUUACCAUUUCAAGAAACUACCAAAUUAUUUUCCAAAAUAAUCAUUUUCUACAGCAAAGUGACCCAGUCAUGCAUACAUGUAUACAUUCUUUUUCCCACAUUAUCCUCCAUCAUGUUCCACCAUAAGUGACUAGAUGUAGUUCCCAGUGCUAUACAGCAGGAUCUCAUUGCUUAUCCUUUACAAAUGCAAUAGUUUGCAUCUAUUAACCCCGGAUUCCCAGUCAGUACCUCUCCCUUUCCCUCCCCCUUGGCAACCACAAGUCUGUUCUCCAAGUCCAUUAGUUUCUUUACUAUGGAGAGGUUCGUUUGUGCCAUGUAUUAGAUUCCAGAUAUAAGUGAUAUCAUAUGUAUUUGUCUUUCUCUUUCUGACUUAUUAUCACUUAGUAUGAGAGUCUCUAGUUCUGUCCAUGUUGCUGCAAAUGGCGUUGUUUUGUUCUUUUUAUGGCUGCAUAGUAUUCCAUGGUAUAUAUAUACUACCUCUUCUUAAUCCAUUCAUAUGUUGAUGGAGAUUUAGGUUGUUUCCGUGUCUUGGCUAUUGUGAAUAGUGCUGCAGUGAACAUGUGGAUGCAUGUGUCUUUUUCAAGGAAAGUUUUGUCCAGAUACAUGGCCAAGAGUGGGAUUGCUGGGUCAUAUGGUAGUUCAGCCAGUUUUCUGAGGUACUUCCAUACUGUUUUCCAUAGUGGUUUUACCGUAUGUCACUAUUUUAAUUUUCAACAUUCUAGUUGAGUAUGUGGUAGUAUCUCAUCAGUUUUAAUUUGCAUUUUUCUCAUUAUUAGUUACAUUGAGUAUAUUUUCAUGCACUUGUUAAGUGUUUCUUCCCGUGAUGUCCAUUUUUAAACUUGGAUUUGUCUUCUUGUUUUUGAAUUAUAGCAUCUGGAGUUCCCACUGUGGCUCAGUGAUAAUGAACUUGAGUAGUAUCCAUAAGGCUUCAAGUUCAAUCCCUGGCCUCACUAGUGGGUUAAGGAUCUAGCUUUGCUGUGAACUGUGGUAUAGGUUGCAGACAUGGCUUGGAUCUGGUGUUGCUGUGGCUGUGAUGUAGGCGGGCAGGUACAGCUCUUAUUCAACGCCAAACCUGGGAACUUGCAUAUGUUGUGGGUGUGGACCUAAAAAGACAAAAAAAAACACAAAGAAUUAUAGGAACUUUAAAAAUUAAUCUUGGAGUUCCCGUCGUGGCGCAGUGGUUAACGAAUCCGACUAGGAACCAUGAGGUUGCGGGUUCGGUCCCUGCCCUUGCUCAGUGGGUUAACAAUCUGGCGUUGCCGUGAGCUGUGGUGUAGGUUGCAGACGUGGCUUGGAUCCCGCAUUGCUGUGGCUCUGGUGUAGGUCGGUGGUUACAGCUCCGAUUUGACCCCUAGCCUGGGAACCUCCAUAUGCCGUGGGAGCGGCCUAAGAAAUAGCAAAAAGACAAAAAAAAAUUAAUCUGGACAUCAUUUAUUGCAAUAAUUUUCCUUUUUUUGGUGGUGUCUGUCAAAGAUCAGAUCUUAAACAUUUUAUGAAAUCCAUUUUAUCAUUUUUUUCCUUUAUUUCUAAGACUUGGGCAUGGUAUUUAGGGAAAUUUUUUAUAGACUAUAUUUUUUUAAGAGCACAUUAAAUUUCACAAUGAUAUUGAGAGGAAGAUACAGAUAUUUCCCCUAUACCGCUUAUCCUCAACAUCCCCUCUCAGAGUGGCACACUUGUUACAAUUGAGGAACCUCCUGUGGCACAUUAGUCACCUAAGGUCCAUAGUUUAUGUUAGGGUUCACUCUUGGUUUUGCACAUUCUGUGGGUCUGGACAAAUUCAUUAGGACCUGCCUCCAUCAUUCUACAUUGUACAUGUAGAUACUCUGUUUCUGCUGCUCUUAGAUAGAAUGUUACUGUAUCUAGGGAAUCAUUGCCUACACCUACCUUAUGAAUAUUUCCCCCUAUAUUUCCUUCAGUAAGUUUUAUGUUUCAAGUUAUUUAUUGUGUAUGUUGUGAGGGAAGACUCGGUUCGUAUUUGUUCCAAAUUCAUAUGCAAUUUUUCCUACACCAUUCAGUGAAAAGAUUGUCCUUUCAGAUUGAAUUAACCUGGCACCUUAAGCAAAUUCAGUUGAGCAGAUAUGCAUGACUCUGUGUCUGCACUUUGUUCUGUUCUGUAGAGGUAUAUGUCCAUCCUUAUGCCAUGGCCACACUGUCUUGAUUCUUAAGAUUUUGUGAUGUCUUGAUACAAGUCAGUGUCAGUCUUUCAGCCUUGUUCUUUUUUUGAAAAAAUUUUCAGGUUAUUCUGUGUCCUUUGUAUUUUGAUGUAGAUUUAAGAAUCAGGUUGUCAAUUUCUGUUCCUACCCAAAAUCUGAAACCAGCUUUUUCAUAUAACUUGUCUUAUGUUUGAUUAUAACAAAAGCAAAAGUUCUGGGCUAUUGACAGAAUGAAAGUGAGAUGGUUAAAUUUUUGUGCCAACUUUGCUUGGCUGUGGUGCCCAGUUGUUUGGUCUGAUAAGUUUAGAUGUUGCUCUGAGGUAUUAGGUAGAUGUAACCAACAUCUACCAUCAUCUGAUUUUAAGUAAAGAAGAUUGUCCUCAAUAAUGUGGGUGAGCCUUGUUCAGUUAAUUGAAGGCCUCAAGAGCAAAAGCUAAAAUUUCUUAAAGAAAUUCUGCCUCGAGUCUGCAAUGUAGAAAUCCUGUCUGAAUUUCUACAGAAUUCAGACUUCAGAACUGUAACUUAUAUAUAAAGAUAAAAAAUUCUCCUUUUUUUUCCACUUAUUUACAACUCACAGUAAAAAUUUCCAUUAACUUACUAAGUGUGGUAUAAGUCUGAGAGAAGGGGAAAGGUGAGCUUUUAUAAAGAACAAAAGUUAGCAAACUGCCCUAAGAAGUAUGGUUUUUCAGUAUAGAAAGAUAGGGUUAGGGUUAGAAUGAAAAUACAACCUCUUCUCAGUCUGCAUUUUUAUUGAGCAUUUCCGUGUAACCAGUCAUACCUUCUUUUCGUGCAUCCAUGCCAACUCUGUGAGAGACUCUGGUGCCUGGCAAGAAUUCAUGGUUUGGUAAGACAGUCACACAAAUAGCAUGAAUUGCAUGCUGUGACAUGGCUAAGUAAAGGUUUUAAGAGGCAUGGAUUGUUCUUUAGUGAAGCGCAAGAAGUGUGUUAUUAGUGGUAGGAGAUAUUAAAGUAAGGAGCCGAGAAAAUGGUGAGACGCCUCAGCUUUUCACCUGCUCAUGGCUGACAGGGUCAGGCCUUGCAUGUGCCACAAAGCUUUCUGAAGGAUGAUCUAGGUAUCAGGGGUUCCCUCUACUUGCUCACUUCUCAAGUGUAGAAUCUUUCUGACUAGAGUCUGAGAGUGAAAGGUCCCAAGGGACUUAAUCCCGUUGGAGAAAUACUUGUUGCUUUUGUGUGGAUAU
rnacentral:lncRNA from 1 species